rnacentral:rRNA from 1 species
CUAAGUUCCUUGGAACAGGACGUCACAGAGGGUGAGAAUCCCGUACGUGACCGGCGGUCAACCCCAUGUGAGGCCCCUUCGACGAGUCGAGUUGUUUGGGAAUGCAGCUCUAAAUGGGUGGUAAAUUUCAUCUAAAGCUAAAUACCGGCCAGAGACCGAUAGCGCACAAGUAGAGUGAUCGAAAGAUGAAAAGCACUUUGGAAAGAGAGUUAAACAGUACGUGAAAUUGUUGAAAGGGAAGCGCUUGCGACCAGACUUGCCCGCGGGUGAUCAACCGUCCUUCGGGGCGGUGCACUGAUCCGCGGCGCAGGCCAGCAUCGGUUUCGGCGGCCAGAGAAACGGGGCGGGAACGUGGCUCCCUCCGGGGAGUGUUACAGCCCGCUCCAGCAUGUGGCCCGCCGGGACCGAGGACCGCGCUCCGGCUAGGAUGCUGGCGUAAUGGUCGUCAGCGACCCGUCUUGAAACACGGACCAAGGAGUUGUCAAACGACGCGAGUCUUUGGGUGUCAAACCCACGGGCGCAAUGAAAGUGAACGGAGGUGGGAACCCCCUUGGGGGCGCACCAUCGACCGAUCCUGAUGUCUUCGGAUGGAUUUGAGUACGAGCGUCGGUUGACUGACCCGAAAGAUGGUGAACUAUGCGUGAAUAGGGUGAAGCCAGAGGAAACUCUGGUGGAGGCUCGCAGCGGUUCUGACGUGCAAAUCGAUCGUCAAAUUUGCGUAUAGGG